rnacentral:rRNA from 1 species
AGAGUUUGAUCCUGGCUCAGGAUGAACGCUAGCUACAGGCUUAACACAUGCAAGUCGAGGGGAAACGACAUCGAAAGCUUGCUUUUGAUGGGCGUCGACCGGCGCACGGGUGAGUAACGCGUAUCCAACCUGCCCACCACUUGGGGAUAACCUUGCGAAAGUAAGACUAAUACCCAAUGACGUCUCUAGAAGACAUCUGAAGGAGAUUAAAGAUUUAUCGGUGAUGGAUGGGGAUGCGUCUGAUUAGCUUGUUGGCGGGGUAACGGCCACCAAGGCGACGAUCAGUAGGGGUUCUGAGAGGAAGGUCCCCCANAUUGGAACUGAGACACGGUCCAAAACUCCUACGGGAGACA